AAAUACUGAACAAAGCCUCAAGUGCAAAUACGAACGAAAAUAUAAUAUCCAAAGAUCUGAAUGGAAUAUAUCUGAAUCAACGUACUGAAUAUAUCUGAAUCAACGUAAUUGACGAAACCAAUAAAAGAAUAAAGAAAUAACGAACUUAAGUAACUAACUCAAUGACUUGAACUGAACAGAAACCAACAAAACUAAUCCAAUAAAAUAAUAGGCUGAAACAAAUGGCUGGAGUUAUUUUAUACCGAAUGAGCUCAGAAAUACACAUUGCCACACAGGCAAGUCAAAAUAAUGUCACACAGGCAAGUCAAAUGAUGCCACACUGGCAACCAAAAUAAUGUCACACAGGCAAAUCACACAUUGGACAGCGAAUCCAA
rnacentral:lncRNA from 1 species